rnacentral:tRNA from 1 species
GAGGGCAUAGCUUAGCAGUAGAGCACAUGCCUAGCAUGCGUGAGGUCCUGGGUUCAUUCCCCAGUGCCAUCA